UGUGUGACGUUGCAGCAAGUUUGCAGCGCAGGUUGUAAAUCCCGGAAACGGCCAAAAUGUGGAAAAUCCCCAAACGGCCAAAAUGUUUAUCUAAAUGAAAGAGUCUUUCUCGAUAGUUUUGCAAGCUAAUAUAAUUUUCUGUGAUAAAAAGAAGGUUGUUCAUCAUGUCUACACCUGACCGUGUUGGACUGACCCACUGUAAGUGUGUCUUGGUGUUUGCAGUCUUUAUGGAUCUUUUCGGUGUGUCUGCCCUUCUGAUCGGCGUCUUCGUCCCGCUUGAAAUCGGGGGUCGUGACUUUGGUGAUCUGUUGGUGUAUUCGGGAGCUCUGCUGGUGUUGAUGUCUAUGGGGGGCUGGGUCAUGUGGUACAGUGGGAAUAUUGAGGGUUUGAUAUCAGGGAAUGAGCUGACACACAAACGCAAUGCCAUGGACCGGUUCGCUCGCACCCUGAGUCGCCGCAUACGGAAACCCCACCGCAGCCACAGCACAUCCUGACCUCUGACCUCUAGACGUGGCUGAGAGCACACACAAAGGGCUUGGGAUACCACAAAUGAGGCCAAAAUCUAAUUUGGAAACUAAACAAAAUGGAAUGAUAAAGAACGUUUUACAAGGAUGAAGGUUGACGGAUACAGUAUAAUUGUUACAAUGUGGUGUUUACUACUACUACUACUACUACUACUAUGUAUAAAAAAAAGUAUGAAAUUGCAGUUAUUUGGUAAUACCUGUACUGCAGUGCUUUAUACAUUUUGAGAGUUGUACGUAUGAGCUGAUAUUUUUGUACACAUAAUUCUGUAUUUCUUUUUGCAGCAAAGCUUUUUUUGUAAUAUCUUCUGUUGUACAAAACACGGGUGAUUAAAUUUCUAUCACUGAUAAAUUUUUCAUAUUUUAAAAAUAAACAUGUAGCUUUACUGCUUUAUUUAAAUGAUGCUGAAUCACCUUUUAGAUCAAAAUUCAACAAUUUAGAAUUACAGUGAAAAUGCAUUUACAAAGUUGAUCUUCCAGUUAACAAAACAUUAAAGUCACUUUCUCUCUCACUUAUUAAAUAGGUAGAGGCACACAUUCCCCCAUUCAAAAAAUACUGCAAAAAUGCCAUAAAGAAGACUCCAUUCAUUUUACAACAAAGAAACCAACAACCAAAAACAGUAAUAUUAAAAAAUAAAACCUCACCAUAAGCACCAAACCUUAAAAAAAAAAAAAAAAAAAAAAAAAAAAAAGUGUUCAGAUUGAAGUAUA